GUACAAAUUCAUUUGCUCUGGCAGUUGGCCGGAGAUGGCGUUGUGACCAAGAAGCAGAUGAUUUAGACUCAUUUGGAACAGCCCAGUGGGGAGUUCCCCGCCAAGCAAAUUCAUCGACAAAUCCAAUGACCAGCUCACCCGGGAUCGUCCCAGACAAUUCGUUCAUGGACAGGUCCAACCUCACUAGUUUUGAGCAGUUGUAAAGGCUGGCAGGCUGGUGACUGUUCCAAAGGCACACUUGACUUCUGUCCAGUCGCACGAGGAUGAGGUCGAAUUACCAACGUAGCGAGGGGGGAGCAUCCCAGUGCUUUUUCAAGCUCAAAAGAAUAGCUUGCUCAGAAGACAAG